UCUCUGGUAGUAUAUCGGAUAGUACACCCGCCUGUCAUCACAAGGCGGUCGCGGGAGAGCGGGGUUCGACUCCCCGCAGAGAG